GCCGGAGUGGCGGAAUAGGUAGACGCAAGGGACUUAAAAUCCCUCGGACGAUUUAACGUCCGUACCGGUUCGAUUCCGGUCUCCGGCACCA
rnacentral:tRNA from 1 species